GGGAGAGGUAGUUAUCUGGACCGGGUCAUAUGGUAGUAGUGGACUAUAUAGGGGAGAGGUAGUUAUCUGGACCGGGCCCUGACAGUAGUAGUGAACUAUAUAGGGGAGAGGUAGUUAUCUGGACCGGGCCCUGACAGUAGUAGUGGACUAUAUAGGGGAGAGGUAGUUAUCUGGACCGGGCCAUAUGGUAGUAGUGGACUAUAUAGGGGAGAGGUAGUUAUCUGGACCGGGCCCUGACAGUAGUAGUGAACUAUAUAGGGGAGAGGUAGUUAUCUGGACCGGGCCAUAUGGUAGUAGUGGACUAUAUAGGGGAGAGGUAGUUAUCUGGACCGGGCCCUGACAGUAGUAGUGGAC